AAGGAAGCUAUUUUGGAAGACUAGGUUUGAGAGACAAAAGUCAGUGAAGGUUCCUCCCUACCCCAGUUAAAAAUAGUCACAAACAUUUUCUGUGUAUUUGGCACUACUUCCUUGUGUUUUUUUUUUUUUUUUUUUUUUUUUUUAAUUAUUAUUACUUUAAAUCAAAUCUGUGCUAAGUGACAAAGCAUUGCUGCAGAGCAGCUCUGGCUUUGUUUUGUUUGCUCAUCACUGCUAGUGGGAAAGGAAUACGAAGAAACUAUUGCUGUGUUACAGAAGCGGUUGCUUCAGGAAAACAGACCUUAGCACUCAGGAUAAACACCUGAACAGCUCUCUUGUCCUUGGCCAGUGUCACCAGUGUCUAGUAGCCUCUGAGGUCUAGCAGACAAGAGGCAGAAGUAUUACAGGCCAGUUCCAUCUAAAAUGUAAUCACCUGUGGCUGAUGGAUUAGGACAAGGCAGAGGAAGGUGAAGAAUCUACACAGAUAAUACUGAUUCCCCUGCUAACUAACCAGUAGGCUGUGCUUAUAGCAGAAAGAACUUUUCACAGACCUGUCUUAUCACCUGCUUCCUGUUUUAUUCUUUCAUGGAUGCAACUUUCCCUGCAGGAAGAAGUAGAACAGCUGCCUACAAGUGCCACCAACCAGCAAUGCUGUCAAGAAACCAGGUUGCCUUGAAUGAAGAUGGGCUUCAAGAGUCAGUUGGUGUCAGAGGCUAUGACAGUCCCUUGUACAGGCGAGCAUGCCCUGCUACCUCUUGUGUACCACAGCAACCUCUCCCGAGUGCAGAGGUCUGUGGCAGAAAUAGAUUUUGUCUCAUGUAGGCAGCAGGGUGGUGUUGGAGGCCUCAAUGUAUUCCUAAUAUUCCCAAUUCCUAAAGCAGGCAGGCUUUGUCAAUGAGGUUGUUGUCCUUCAAAAUAUAUUCAAAACAAAACUAAAACAAUCCUAAGCAGCUGAAAAAAAAAAAAUAAAAAUCAGAGCAUGGGUGCUUGGUGCCUAAUU
rnacentral:lncRNA from 1 species